rnacentral:tRNA from 1 species
GCCUGGGUGGCUCAGUUGGUUGGGUAUCUGACUUCGGCUCAGGUCAUGAUCUCACAGUUUGUGGGCUCAAGCCCCACGUCGGGCU